rnacentral:rRNA from 1 species
AGUGAACGCUGGCGGUAGGCCUAACACAUGCAAGUCGAACGGCAGCACAGUAAGAGCUUGCUCUUACGGGUGGCGAGUGGCGGACGGGUGAGGAAUACAUCGGAAUCUACUUUUUCGUGGGGGAUAACGUAGGGAAACUUACGCUAAUACCGCAUACGACCUACGGGUGAAAGCAGGGGAUCUUCGGACCUUGCGCGGUUGAAUGAGCCGAUGUCGGAUUAGCUAGUUGGCGGGGUAAAGGCCCACCAAGGCGACGAUCCGUAGCUGGUCUGAGAGGAUGAUCAGCCACACUGGAACUGAGACACGGUCCAGACUCCUACGGGAGGCAGCAGUGGGGAAUAUUGGACAAUGGGCGCAAGCCUGAUCCAGCCAUACCGCGUGGGUGAAGAAGGCCUUCGGGUUGUAAAGCCCUUUUGUUGGGAAAGAAAAGCAGCAGGUUAAUACCCUGCUGUUCUGACGGUACCCAAAGAAUAAGCACCGGCUAACUUCGUG